UACGGCUCAGUAACACGUAGCUAAUCUGCCCUUAGGUCAAGGAUACCCUCGGGAAACUGAGGUUAAUACUUGAUAGGAGACUUACCCUGGAAUGAUUUGUCUCUUAAAUUCGUGCCUAAGGAUGAGGCUGCGGUGGAUUAGGUUGUUGGCGGGGUAAUAGCCCACCAAGCCGGUGAUCCAUAAGGGCUCUUAGCGGAGGAGCCCUGAGAGGGAAUCUGAGACACUAUUCCCAGCCCUACGGGGUGCAGCAGUUAGGAAUAUUCUGCAAUGCGCGCAAGCGUGACAGAUUGAGCCAGAGUGCUUCUCACAUGAGAAGCUUUUGUGGAAUGUAAAAAGUUCCACGAAUAAGGACUGGGUAAGACUAGUGCCAGCCGCCGCGGUAAUACUAGCGGUCCAAGUUGCAGCCAUUUUUAUUGGGUCUAAAACAUCCGUAGCUUGUUUGAUAAGUUUCUUGUGAAAUCUUGUCUCUCAAAGACUGGGCGGGCAAGAAAUACUGUCAAGCUAGAGACUGGGAGACGUAAGGAGUACGACCGAAGUAGCAGUAAAAUGCACUAAUCUCGGUCGGACUAACAAUAGCGAAGGCACCUUACGAGAACAGUUCUGACAGUAAGGGAUGAAAGCUAGGGGCGCAAAACGGAUUAGAUACCCGUGUAGUCCUAGCAGUAAGCACUGCACACUAAACAUUGGGACCUCUUCGAGAGGUUUCAGUGCUGCACCGAAGGGGAAGAGUGUGCUACCUGGGAAGUAUAGUCGCAAGGCCGAAACUUAAAGGAAUUGGCGGA
rnacentral:rRNA from 1 species